rnacentral:misc_RNA from 1 species
UGAUUUUUUGGUUUUAUGGUUCAAUUGCAAUCUGGGAUAUUUCAAAAGUUUUGUGUUCAGUUUGAUUAGAUUUUUUUUUCUCAAAAAUAAAAAAUUAAUUAAACUGAAAUAAAUGGACCAUUUCAGUUAAAUAACUUUAGUAUUCCAUAUCAUAUUACCUAGGUUUGCUACAUAGCCCAACCCAUUCCUCUCCCUAUUCUAAUCAAAA